AACGGUAACAUAGAGAAGCUUGCUUCUUUGAUGACGAGUGGCGCACGGGUGCGUAACGCGUAUACAAUCUGCCUCUUACAGGGGGAUAGCCUUUGGAAACGAAGAAUAAUACCCCAUAGUAUGUAGAUAUCGCAUGGUAAUUACAUUAAAGAUUUAUCGGUAAGAGAUGAGUAUGCGUCCUAUUAGCUAGAUGGUGUGGUAACGGCACACCAUGGCAACGAUAGGUAGGGGCCCUGAGAGGGGGAUCCCCCACACUGGUACUGAGACACGGACCAGACUCCUACGGGAGGCAGCAGUGAGGAAUAUUGGACAAUGGGCGCGAGCCUGAUCCAGCCAUGCCGCGUGCAGGAAGACUGCCCUAUGGGUUGUAAACUGCUUUUAUACGGGAAGAAACCCACCUACGUGUAGGUGGCUGACGGUACCGUAAGAAUAAGCAUCGGCUAACUCCGUGCCAGCAGCCGCGGUAAUACGGAGGAUGCAAGCGUUAUCCGGAAUCAUUGGGUUUAAAGGGUCCGUAGGUGGACAAUUAAGUCAGAGGUGAAAUCCUGCAGCUCAACUGUAGAAUUGCCUUUGAUACUGGUUGUCUUGAAUUAUUGUGAAGUGGUUAGAAUAUGUAGUGUAGCGGUGAAAUGCAUAGAUAUUACAUAGAAUACCAAUUGCGAAGGCAGAUCACUAACAAUAUAUUGACACUGAUGGACGAAAGCGUGGGGAGCGAACGGGAUUAGAUACCCCGGUAGUCCACGCCGUAAACGAUGGUCACUAGCUGUUCGGAUUUCGGUCUGAGUGGCUAAGCGAAAGUGAUAAG
rnacentral:rRNA from 1 species